UACGUAGGGUGCAAGCGUUGUCCGGAAUUAUUGGGCGUAAAGAGCUCGUAGGCGGUCUGUCGCGUCUGCUGUGAAAACCUGGGGCUUAACCCCGGGCCUGCAGUGGGUACGGGCAGACUAGAGUGCGGUAGGGGAGACUGGAAUUCCUGGUGUAGCGGUGAAAUGCGCAGAUAUCAGGAGGAACACCGGUGGCGAAGGCGGUUCUCUGGGACGGUACUGACGCUGAGACGCGAAAGCGUGGGGAGCGAACAGG
rnacentral:rRNA from 1 species